UUCUGGAGGGAGCCAAUCACCAUGUUGUGAGGACAGUCCAGUCCGGUAGCUCUUAAGAGGGGUCUGGUUAAUGAGCAACUGUGGCCUCCUGUCCACAGUCAACACCAACUUGCCAGCCAUGAAGAAACCAAGAGUGUUACCUAUCUCAUCCCCUGCCACCACCUCUUCUACAUCUUUAAUAUGCUACCAAAUUAUUCAAGGACUCCCAAUAUGCAACACCACAAGCAAUCACCCCAACUUACCGGCCAAGAGAAGACUCUGGAAAGGGCACCUAUCUGGUUUGUAUGUAAAAUAAAUAUUCCUAUAGGAUCCAAUGAGGACUCCUUGAUCCUCAUAUAAAGCCCUAAAAGAGACAGCGAUUUGAGAGGACUCAGAGCUGCUGAAAGAAUGCACGAGAGACCCCCAAUGGUAGCGAAGAAAGCCCUGUGCAUGUGUAGUCCAACCAUCUUGGAGAAGGCAGAUACGUCAAAAGACACCUUACAAUCUCAGCAUCUUAAGUUCUUUGGAGAUGUAUUGUAUACCAACAGAUCCCUGGAACUCACUAGAAGUGUUUUCCUUUGCAUUGUAAGAAAACAAUGGAUGUCUUUCCAAUGCUGGCAGUCAUGACUGCAGUAAGAUGUGCAGAGCAUUAAACUUCUUCCUCCAAACGGCAGUCUUACGGCUCUGGGCACAGUCAUUAUUCGCAGUAUAAUAGUGCACUCUGCAGGAUUUCGUUUCUAAAUGCAAGAUGUGUUAAUUAUGCCUUUGAGAGAGACAAAGAUGGAAAAAGGAGAAAGAGAAAGAGUAAAUGACAAGAGUGAGAGUGGCCGAGAGAAAAAGGCGGCACAGUCAGAACAGGACAUUUGAGAUAACGGUCGAGAAGCCCUGGAUAUGACCCAUCCCAGUUCACCAGGAUAGGAGAUAACUUAAUUUGAGAAAGAAGAGUUCUUUUGACUGCAAAGUACCCUGGACCGUACAUUUUAAAAGGCUGUUUUUGAAAGAGUGCAGUUCUGUCCUCUAGGAAGAAAGUGACCAAUGACUUUUGUUGUUAUCUGAAAAUAAAAAAGUAGAUAUAAUUCAAUGCAAGAACUUCAAA